rnacentral:rRNA from 1 species
AUUGAACGCUGGCGGCAGGCUUAACACAUGCAAGUCGAGCGGUAACAGGAGAAGCUUGCUUCUCGCUGACGAGCGGCGGACGGGUGAGUAAUACUUAGGAAUCUACCUAGUAGUGGGGGAUAGCUCGGGGAAACUCGAAUUAAUACCGCAUACGACCUACGGGAGAAAGGGGGCAACUUGUUGCUCUCGCUAUUAGAUGAGCCUAAGUCGGAUUAGCUAGAUGGUGGGGUAAAGGCCUACCAUGGCGACGAUCUGUAGCUGGUCUGAGAGGAUGAUCAGCCAAGCCGGGACUGAGACACGGCCCGGACUCCUACGGGAGGCAGCAGUGGGGAAUAUUGGACAAUGGGGGCAACCCUGAUCCAGCCAUGCCGCGUGUGUGAAGAAGGCCUUUUGGUUGUAAAGCACUUUAAGCAGUGAAGAAGACUCUAGGGUUAAUACCCUUAGACGAUGACAUUAGCUGCAGAAUAAGCACCGGCUAACUCUGUGCCAGCCGCCGCGGUAA